AGAAUACGUGCCUAUGCAUGGGAAGAUAUACACCUUUAACUAACUUUGUCAAACGCUAACAGCAAGUAGAAAGCAUCACCAGGUGGCACCAAACAGAUGACAUAAAGGGACGGGGGACCCAAAAACAAAAGUGCCUGCUACAUUAUCCUACACUUCACAUGAAUUUUGCCUCAUAUGGUCCAUGCGAACCCGAGUAAAAAACGCGUGUUCGGGUGUCCUACUCUUCUAUUCCUUCCCGACUCCA
rnacentral:misc_RNA from 1 species